GGGGCACCACAAGAACGCGUGGAGCAUGUGGCUUAAUUUGACUCAACGCGGGAAAUCUUACCGGGUCCGGACACACUGAGGAUUGACAGGCAAUAUUAAUACUUUGCUUCGGCAUUGUAUUAUGUUAAAUAUGCUAGUCCUUUCAUGAUUAUGUGAUAGGUGGUGCAUGGCCGUUCUUAGUUCGUGGAGUGAUCUGUCUGCUUAAUUGCGUUUCACUAAGGGCCUAUAAAUUUACGUAUGUUGUAUCGCACUUUGACCCCUUUCUUUAAUUAGAAAGCGCGUGUCUUAGUUUCGCUUUGCUCAUACAAUUAGGUCCUGAAAGCAACGAACGUGACCGCAACCUCUUGUUGCCUUUAUACCAAACAUGUUUAUUCAUUUUUUAAUGUUCAUUCAUGAAAAAAGGCUUUUUAAACUAGAGGGACCGCUGUUACUUUCUUAAACCAGAGGAAGGUUGCGGCAAUAACAGGUCUGUGAUGCCCUUAGAUGUUCCGGGCUGCACACGUGCUACAAUGAUUAUUGCAGUGAGCAUCUCAUUUUUACACACCGCAUGCGCGAGUCCAUUUAUUCACCUUCGGGUGUUUUAAAUGUGUACCUCUGCGCGCGGUAAAGCCUGCUUCGAAAGUAAGUGGGUAAUCAAUUAGAAGUAAUGAUUUCCUUUUUUAGCACACAUAUAUACGGCGUCUAUGCCCGGGUUACCUUGUUGUAGCUUUUGUGUGUAUAGAUGUUUUUUCCGUAUGUGCGAUUGUCAAUUCAUGGUGGGGACAGACCAUUGUUAAUUGUUGGUCUCGGUCUUAACUAGGAAUGCCUUGUACGGGUCUUUGGUUCAACAAACCACCCGGAAUACGUCCCUGCCCUUUGUACACACCGCCCGUCGCUCUUACCGAUGGACUUCUCUGUGAGUUUGAGGGACUGGGAACGCAGGAAUUUAUUUCUGCACACCUAUGGAAACUUAAACGAACAGUGUGGUCUAAAGGAAAGAGAAGUCGUACA
rnacentral:rRNA from 1 species